AACGCGAAGAACCUUACCUGGGCUCGAAGCGCAGUGGAAUCCGGUGGAAACAUCGGCGCCCCUUAAAAGGCUGCUGCGGAGGUGCUGCAUGGCUGUCGUCAGCUCGUGUCGUGAGAUGUUGGGUUAAGUCCCGCAACGAGCGCAACCCUUAUCGUUAGUUGCCAGCGAGUCAAGUCGGGCACUCUAGCGAAACCGCCCCGGAUAACGGGGAGGAAGGUGGGGAUGACGUCAAGUCCUCAUGGCCUUUAUGUCCAGGGCUACACACGUGCUACAAUGGUCGGUACAAACCGUCGCAAACCUGCGAAGGGGAGCUAAUCGGAAAAAGCCGGCCUCAGUUCGGAUUGGAGUCUGCAACCCGACUCCAUGAAGCUGGAAUCGCUAGUAACGGUAGGUCAGCACUACUACCGUGAAUACGUUCCCGGGCCUUGUACACACCGCGAGC
rnacentral:rRNA from 1 species